GGGGGUGUAGCUCAGAUGGUUAGAGCGCUGGCCUGUCACGCCAGAGGCCGCGGGUUCGAGUCCCGUCACUCCCGCCA
rnacentral:tRNA from 1 species